rnacentral:rRNA from 1 species
AACGAACGCUGGCGGCAGGCUUAACACAUGCAAGUCGAGCGCCUCGCAAGAGGAGCGGCAGACGGGUGAGUAACGCGUGGGAACGUACCCUUAUCUUCGGAAUAGCUCUGGGAAACUGGAAGUAAUACCGAAUGUGCCCUUAGGGGGAAAGAUUUAUCGGAUAAGGAUCGGCCCGCGUUGGAUUAGCUAGUUGGUGGGGUAAAGGCCUACCAAGGCGACGAUCCAUAGCUGGUCUGAGAGGAUGAUCAGCCACAUUGGGACUGAGACACGGCCCAAACUCCUACGGGAGGCAGCAGUGGGGAAUAUUGGACAAUGGGCGCAAGACUGAUCCAGCCAUGCCGCGUGAGUGAUGAAGGACUUAGGGUUGUAAAGCUCUUUCAACGGAGAAGAUAAUGACGGUAUCCGGAGAAGAAGCCCCGGCUAACUUCGUG